AUUUAACAGCUGUCGUCAACGACUGGCAGAGGAGAAGAAAUUGAUUUGGUCGACUUAUUUACAAGAUUUUUCAAGAAAGGAAAACUGCAGAAAAAACCCAGGGUGAUGUGACGAGGUGAAUAUGGAUGCUUCUGCUGGAGAUGAUGUAUGUAUGUGGAGGCUCCAGUGAAAGGAGACGUGUGGAAUUGUGUUCAUUGAGUUUCCUGCUUUGGUAAUGACAUUCAUUCUCAUGAUGAUGGGAUUGAGAGGUGAAUUGACUUGGGAAGGACACCACUGAAGACCUCAGGGUGACAUGUUUGGCUUGUCAUGGUUACGGGCAGCUCUGACCAUCACAACCAUCUGAUUCCACUUUUACACUAGAUUCUGUGGGGAUCUCUAAUCUUUCAUUUUAGCGUUUGUGAGAUCAAAUGGAGGAGUUUAAUUUAACAUGUUUGCUGCAGGUGAGAAGGUUUAGGAUUUAGGUGUGCAGGACACUUGAGUUCUUCCAGACCAACCUUCACACCAACAACCAUGUCUUCAUGCAGCUCAGGUUUGUGUGCAGGCAGGAGCAUCGUAAUUCUGUGGAUCUUCACUCAUAGGACGAUUGACGAUUUAAAAAAAAAUUGCAGUGAUGUCCUAUAUAAUUGUGUGUUUCAGAUGUUAAUAACGUCAGAGUAACUCCAUACAACUAGCUGAGCUGAGCAGUGAAACAUCUCAGCACACUCAUACUCUGUAGCCAUGAAAGCCUCAGAUUCAAAAUGUUAGUGAAAUGCUAUAAAUCUGAUGUGGUCUUCUGCUGUAGAUCAUUUAACUUAAGGUUUCAUUCUGAUUCAUGCAUUUCUGCUCAUCACAGAUAUAAAGAGUGAUUAUAUUUGAGUUACUGUAGACUUCCAGGCAGUUUGAACCAAUCAGGUCAUUCUUCUCUGAUUCAGGUUUCCACCCACAGACCUGUCAAUCAUACGAUGUUUUUUUGUUUUUCACAUUAUUCUGUUUACACUUUACUGACAUUUAGGUGAAUAUCCAACCAGGUGUUCCCCCAUGUGAAAAUUACCAGAGGUUCCUGACCUACAUUUACAUUAUACUUCACUCUGCGUUGCUGCCACCUGAUUGGCCGAUUAGAAAACCACAUUAACAUGCAGUUGUUUCUAAUAAAAUGUAAAGUGGUUUGUUAACGUGUA